AUGGGGGGCAACAUGGUAGAUCUAGACUGCUGCUCCAGCCCCACCUGCAGGUCGGAACUGUUGUGGAAUGCUAAGGGCCGUGCGUUGCUGCAGGAGGUCAGCAAGGAGGUGAAGAGAGAGAUGAGGCUGGAGCAACGUUGGGUCACAAGCCAACAGGAAAAAGAGAAAAUGAAACGGGAGAGACAACAGAGGAGACGUCUCAAAGGCGGGAAGAAAGAUUCUCCAACCAAGACAGAUUCACAAGACAACUCAGCGAGCAUGGACAACAUCCUGAUAUCGGUAUCCAAUCCUGACAACAACCAAUUCGACCCCUCUGAUCAUCACUCCUUACCUUCUCCAGUAGAACAGAAAUGUGACGUAACGAGAAAACUCUCGGCUCUGUGUCACAACAUGGUCGAAGCAGUGAAUCAGAAGUCCAUCAUCUCUGCCCACAACCUCUUUGCUGAGGGACCAGGGCUGGUUGACUCUGUCUCCUCCACCUUGGUGACCUGUAGCAGUCUGAUUGGACAAGCUGGCUCCCUUCAGUCCAUCACCCAGCAACUGUCUGAAAUGUAAGUCUGCACUUUCAAACAUUUGUAAAUAUUUGCUUUUAAAUGUA
rnacentral:lncRNA from 1 species